CAGAAAGAAAGUGAUUAGGAUUUGUUCAAAGACUAAGAUAGAGAUACAGAAAUGACGAAAGCCAAGAUUGAGAUUGAUACUGACAGGUUCCUAGUGAGUAUUUGACAUUGAGGCACAAGUUUUUGGAAACAAAUAGAGAAUAUAAAGU